rnacentral:rRNA from 1 species
GACGAACGCUGGCGGCGUGCUUAACACAUGCAAGUCGAACGGAGAGGCCCUGCUUUUGUGGUGUGCUCGAGUGGCGAACGGGUGAGUAACACGUGUGUAACCUGCCCUUGACUUUGGUAUAACUUCAGGAAACUGGGGCUAAUACCGUAUAGGAGCUCCUGCUGCAUUGUGGGGGUUGGAAAGUUUCGGCGGUUGGGGAUGGACUCGCGGCUUAUCAGCUUGUUGGUGGGGUAGUGGCUUACCAAGGCUUUGACGGGUAGCCGGCCUGAGAGGGUGACCGGCCACAUUGGGACUGAGAUACGGACCAGACUCCUACGGGAGGCAGCAGUGGGGAAUAUUGCACAAUGGGCGGAAGCCUGAUGCAGAAACGCCGCGUGCGGGAUGACGGCCUUCGGGUUGUAAACCGCAUUAGCCUGUGACGAAGCGUGAGUGACGGUAAUGGGUAAAGAAGCACCGGCUAACUACGUG